UGUCUUCUAAAUAAAGACCAGUAUGAACGGCUAAAUGAGGACAAACCUGUCUCUUGCAACCAAUCAGUGAAACUGAUCUCCCGGUCCAAAAGCCGGAAUAGCACCAUAAGACGAGAAGACCCUGUGGAGCUUUAAACAAACUAUUAUGCACCACACCCGGUAGCAAUUAAUAGAGAGUUUUAAGUUGGGGCGACUUCGGAACCAAAAAAAACUUCCGAGCACAGAACCACCCAUUCUUACCAAGACUAACAAGUCAAAGCCCAAAACGACCCAGUAACACUGACCAACGAACCAAGUUACCCCAGGGAUAACAGCGCCAUCUUCUUCAAGAGUUCAUAUCGACAAGAAGGUUUACGACCUCGAUGUUGGAUCAGGACACCCCAAUGGUGCAGCCGCUAUUAAAGGUUCGUUUGUUCAACGAUUAAUAGU
rnacentral:rRNA from 1 species